CUAGAAAAGCUGAUGCGUCGUCGGCCAGAGAGAGGGGGGUCCACGUGUAGCACUGGUGGGUUUUAAAAGCAAUCACAUGAUUCAGGCAGGGGCAAGGGGUCUAACCCGAAUCAGAGUAUGUUAUUUAUGUCGUGGUUUUCACUCUUCACGAGGAGGAGGAGUUUGGAUUUAGAUGAGGACUUAUCGGACACAGCCGUUCCUUAGUGCGCAACAACUUAAUUUCCUUCAACGUUCGCCGCCCGUGACCACAUUAGAGCAACUCCACCCAUUUGCCCUUAGCCAUGGCAAGGGGGGAGCUAGGGCAGCCACUAUUCACGUGAAUAGUGGUUGCCCUUGCAAAUAGUAUUUUGAGUUUCCACCCAUUGCCAUGGCUAAGGGCAAUUACUAUUCAUUUUUUUGUUUUUU
rnacentral:lncRNA from 1 species